rnacentral:rRNA from 1 species
UACGUAGGGGGCAAGCGUUGUCCGGAAUCAUUGGGCGUAAAGAGCUCGUAGGCGGUUCAGUAAGUCGGGUGUGAAAUCUCCGAGCUCAACUCGGAAAUGGCAUUGGAUACUACUUGGCUAGAGGGUUGGAGGGGGGACUGGAAUACUUGGUGUAGCAGUGAAAUGCGUAGAUAUCAAGUGGAACACCAGUGGCGAAGGCGAGUCCCUGGACAACUCCUGACACUGAGGCACGAAAGCUAGGGGAGCAAACAGG